AGUGAACGCUGGCGGUAGGCCUAACACAUGCAAGUCGAACGGCAGCACAGUAAGAGCUUGCUCUUACGGGUGGCGAGUGGCGGACGGGUGAGGAAUACAUCGGAAUCUACUUUUUCGUGGGGGAUAACGUAGGGAAACUUACGCUAAUACCGCAUACGACCUACGGGUGAAAGCAGGGGAUCUUCGGACCUUGCGCGAUUGAAUGAGCCGAUGUCGGAUUAGCUAGUUGGCGGGGUAAAGGCCCACCAAGGCGACGAUCCGUAGCUGGUCUGAGAGGAUGAUCAGCCACACUGGAACUGAGACACGGUCCCGACUCCUACGGGAGGCAGCAGUGGGGAAUAUUGGACAAUGGGCGCAAGCCUGAUCCAGCCAUACCGCGUGGGUGCAGAAGGCCUUCGGGUUGUAAAGCCCUUUUGUUGGGAAAGAAAAGCAGCAGGUUAAUACCCCGCUGUUUUGACGGUACCCAAAGAAUAAGCACCGGCUAACUUCGUG
rnacentral:rRNA from 1 species